rnacentral:rRNA from 1 species
GACGAACGCUGGCGGCGUGCCUAAUACAUGCAAGUAGAACGCUGAAGAGAGGAGCUUGCUCUUCUUGGAUGAGUUGCGAACGGGUGAGUAACGCGUAGGUAACCUGCCUUGUAGCGGGGGAUAACUAUUGGAAACGAUAGCUAAUACCGCAUAACAAUAGGUGACACAUGUCAUUUAUUUGAAAGGGGCAAUUGCUCCACUACAAGAUGGACCUGCGUUGUAUUAGCUAGUAGGUGAGGUAACGGCUCACCUAGGCGACGAUACAUAGCCGACCUGAGAGGGUGAUCGGCCACACUGGGACUGAGACACGGCCCAGACUCCUACGGGAGGCAGCAGUAGGGAAUCUUCGGCAAUGGGGGCAACCCUGACCGAGCAACGCCGCGUGAGUGAAGAAGGGUUUCGGAUCGUAAAGCUCUGUUGUAAGUCAAGAACGAGUGUGAGAGUGGAAAGUUCACACUGUGACGGUAGCUUACCAGAAAGGGACGGCUAACUACGUG